GAUGAAGAACGCAGCGAAAUGCGAUACGUAAUGUGAAUUGCAGAAUUCAGUGAAUCAUCGAAUCUUUGAACGCAUAUUGCGCUCUCUGGUAUUCCGGAGAGCAUGCUUGUUUGAGUAUCAGUAAACACCUCAACUCCCUUUUCUUUUUUGAAAUUGGAGCUGGACUUGAGUGAUCCCAACGCUUUCUUCCAAGAAAGUGGCGGGUUGCUUGAAAUGCAGGUGCAGCUGAACUUUUCUCUGAGCUAUAAGCAUAUCUAUUUAGUCUGCCUAAAAAACAGAUUAUUACCUUUGCUGCAGCUAACAUAAAGGAGACUAGUUCUUGUGCUGACUGAUGCAGGAUUCACAGAGACAGCUUCGGCUGACUUUGUAAACUCGAUCUCAAAUCAAGUAAGACUACCCGCUGAACUUAAGCAUAUCAAUAAGCGGAGG
rnacentral:misc_RNA from 1 species